AGCAAUUAUAACACCUUUCCGUGUCAUGUAAUUAACCGCGUUCUUUUGAUUCUGAGUAAAAAGAUUAACAAAAUAUCUCUUUUUGGAUUUUUUUCUUUUAUUUAAAAAUCAAAAGUAAAAAAUAAUCAUUCAAGCUUUUUAAUACACUAAGAAUUAGUAUAAACAAUGUUUGGAAUGGAGGACGGAUCUGUCCGGAUUUUAUCCAACCCGGAGUACAUGUCAAUGGCGUCCAGUAAAACGAAAGUAGAAACAAACACUGAAUCUUGAGAAUGCCAUCAGUACAAAAAGAACUGAGAUCUCCUGACUGCAUACAGCUGUCAAGAUCCCCGGACUGCAUACUACUGCUGAGAUCCCAGGGCUGCAUACAACUGUCGAGAUCUCCUGACUGCAUAUAAACUGUCAAAACCUCCGGACUGCAUACAACUGUUGAGAUCUGACUGCAUACAACUGUUGAGAUCUGACUGCAUACAACUGUCGAGAUCUGACUGUAUGUGUAUACAACUGUCAAAAUCUGACUGCAUAAACUGUCUAGAUCUCUGGACUGCAUACAACUGUCGCUGAAAAAUAGAGAACUAAGAUUAACCAUUUGAUUUUUAUUCUUUGACUGCUGGUCGGGUAGUAGUCUUCAGCUAUAAUAUUUGUUGCACCUUGUUACUGAAUAAAAUUACUGACCUAUAAGCCAGCAGGAGGGCUUCCUCUAACAAACCUGAAUUGCAUAAAGUUUACAUGCACCCAAAACAUUUACAAAACUUCAUAAGACUAAAUGUAUAAUUUACACAAAUAUAUGUAUAACAUUAAA
rnacentral:lncRNA from 1 species